rnacentral:rRNA from 1 species
UACGUAGGCAGCAAGCGUUGUUCGGAAUUACUGGGCGUAAAGGGUGCGUAGGCGGCGCUCUAAGUUUGGUGUGAAAUCUCCCGGCUUAACUGGGAGGGUGCACUGAAAACUGGGGCGCUCGAGUAUGGGAGAGGAAAGCGGAAUUCCUGGUGUAGCGGUGAAAUGCGUAGAGAUCAGGAGGAACACCUGCGGUGUAGACGGCUUUCUGGACCAUUACUGACGCUGAGGCACGAAAGCGUGGGGAGCAAACAGG